rnacentral:rRNA from 1 species
GACGGUGGCAAUGAGUCUGACCUUCUGGCCCGAAAGGGUUGGGCAAACUGGUCAAUCACCGUCAUGACAGGGAUCGGGGCUUGGAAUUGUUCCCCGUGAACGAGGAAUUCCUAGUAAGUGCAAGUCAUAAGCUUGCGCUGAUUACGUCCCUGCCCUUUGUACACACCGCCCGUCGCUACUACCGAUUGAAUGGUUUAGUAAGGUCCUUGGAUUGGCGCCAUUGUGGUGGGUUGCCGUAAGGUGGUCUGCCCGAGAGGUGCUGAAAAGACGACCAAAC